GCGCCCGUAGUUCAAUUGGAAAGAACGUCGGAUUCCGGAUCCGAAAGUUGGGGGUUCGAGUCCCUUCGGGCGCACCG
rnacentral:tRNA from 1 species